GACGGGAGGGACGAGCGUUAUCCAUCUUGGCUAGGCGUACAGGGUACCUCGAUUGUUCGGCAAGGAUAUGAUUGAAAUACUUAUUCAAGUGAUAAGUAGCGGUCAGCUUCAACUACCGGACUAGAGUUCGAGAAAGGCGUAAGGGGAAUACUCGGAGUAGGAAUGACAUCCGCCAAAAGCGAGUAGAAUGCCAGGGGUGAAAACACUUUACGACUAAGAACUGACAUUCAUGGUACGAAGGCAUGGGGAGCGAAAGGG
rnacentral:misc_RNA from 1 species